UUAUAGGCCAAGUGUCCUAUGAAGAAGAAAGAUAAUGAGAAAGGUCAUCACAAAAAAUCUAUCAAGUCUAGAAGAGCAUAUGUUGCUUUGGAGAGAAAGAGUGAUUUCUCAAAUGAUGAAAGCUCAACUUCAAGUGUAAAAUCGACUCAGAUUUGCCUCAUGGCAAACAAAAAGAAGAAAAAGGUUGUAAGCAACUCUAAACUUGAAUCUACUCAUGACUUAUCUUAUUCUUAAUUACAAAAAUCUUUUGAAAAU
rnacentral:lncRNA from 1 species